CGCCGGUUGGCUGAGUGGUCCAAAGCACAAGUCUGCAAAACUUGAUAUGAUCAGUAGUUCGAAUCUACUACCGGCGUCCA
rnacentral:tRNA from 1 species